rnacentral:lncRNA from 1 species
GAGUGGGAGAAAACGAUAACGAAGGUAAGUCUGCUGCAGUUGUGACUGGAGAGGAAGAUGUUGAGAAGAGGGGGACAUAGUGGCAUUUCAUUGUGGUGGUGCCAUUGGUGACGACCGGAGAAAAAGAAUAGAAAGAGGAGGCGAUCACUUGAACUAGCUUAGAAGAGGUGAAGGACAUGAGAAGAGGCGAUGGAGAAGGGAGGAUGGGACAAGAAGAAGCUUGGCUAUGUGUGGAGGCAACGAAUUGAGAACCUUAGCCACCUCAAUAGCUCAUUCAGCCAUUUUCUUGUAAACUAGACC